rnacentral:rRNA from 1 species
UAAUGCUUGGGAAUCUAGCCUAUGGAGGGGGAUAACUACGGGAAACUGUAGCUAAUACCGCGUAGAAUCGAGAGAUGAAAGUGUGGGACCUUCGGGCCACAUGCCAUAGGAUGAGCCCAAGUGGGAUUAGGUAGUUGGUGAGGUAAAGGCUCACCAAGCCGACGAUCUCUAGCUGGUCUGAGAGGAUGACCAGCCACACUGGGACUGAGACACGGCCCAG